CGAACGCUGGCGGCGUGCUUAACACAUGCAAGUCGAGCGGUAAGGCCCUUUCGGGGGUACGACGAGCGGCGAACGGGUGAGUAACACGUGGGUGACCUGCCCUCAGCUCUGGGAUAAGCCUGGGAAACUGGGUCUAAUACUGGAUAUGACUCCACGGUGCAUGUCGUGGGGUGGAAAGCCUUGUGCGGCUGAGGAUGGGCCCGCGGCCUAUCAGCUUGUUGGUGGGGUGAUGGCCUACCAAGGCGACGACGGGUAGCCGGCCUGAGAGGGCGACCGGCCACACUGGGAUUGAGACACGGCCCAGACUCCUACGGGAGGCAGCAGUGGGGAAUCUUGCGCAAUGGGCGAAAGCCUGACGCAGCGACGCCGCGUGAGGGAUGACGGCCU
rnacentral:rRNA from 1 species